UUAGAUUUUUACUCUGAGAGAGACUGUCAGUUAACAGAUCAGUUCUCUCUGUAAGGAGUGCCCUUUGAUGUGCUUUUUUAAGACAUUUAUUUGGGUACCCUUUAGAUUUAAAAUGGGACCUGAGGGUUUGGGCUUUUAUCUUAAAGUCCUCAUGAGAGAAGCAAUUCCUUCUUAAUCUGAGGUAUUGGCCUGUUGGUAUCCCUCUCUUCAAUGCGGGGGGAUGAUAGCUCUCCCAGUUAAGAAAAUUAUUAGUUGCUGUAGGUUUUUUAUAGAGUGUGGUAGAUAUAUAGUUGUUAUGUGUGGUCUCUAGGGUAAUAUCAAGAAAAUUAAGUUUAUGUCCACCAACCUCAUGGGUAAAUCUAAGGUUGAUGACAUUGACAUUUAGUUCCUCCACAAAACUAUUGAACAGGUCCUCAGGGCCUGUCCAAACUAUCAAGACAUCGUCGAUAUAGCAUUUCCAGAGGUUGACAUAUUCUGUAUAUUUGGUAAGUUGUGGACUGAAGACCACAUUUUUUUCCACCAACCUAAGUGAAGAUUGGCAUAAGAGGGGGCACACGUUGUCCCCAUGGCAGUGCCCUUCACUUGGUGGUAGUACUUGCCUCUAAACAGGAAAUAAUUGUGUGAAAGAAUGAAGUGUAGAAGCUUUAGAACAAAAUCACUAUGUUCCUUUAGUGUUGAAUCCCUCAUAUAGAGGAAGCUUUUCACAUGUCUGAUGCCAACUUCAUGAGGGAUUGAACUAUACAGACGCUCCACAUCUAGGCUGCAGAGCCUAGCAUUAGUUGGUAUAGUCGUAUCAUUAAGUAUGUUGAGAGUCUGCUUAGUGUCCCUCAGGUAGGAAGGGAGAGUCUUGACAAGAUCCCGAAGGAUAAAUUCCACGUAUGCCCUACAGUUCUGCGUAAGAUUAUUAUUGCCUGAUACAAUUGGUCUUCCCGAUAAAAUAUGUACUCUUAUCAUUCAAUAUUCUCUGUACCAUUUGAAUGUAGUCAUUCUUAUUCAUGAUCACAAUAUUUCCCCCUUUAUCUGAGGAUUUAAUGAUAAUAGAGUCAUUUUGUUUCAGAGUGUCUAAUGCUUUUCUCUCAGGUUGAUUCAGAUUAUCAUAUUGGCUAAGGGGGUAUGCGUUUCUACCCAUGCCUUCAAUUUCUUUGCAGGUGAGUUCUAUGAAGAGAUCAAUGUAUUUGAAUUCAUGGAUGCACGGAGUGAAUUUACUUUUUAAUUUCAGGGUGGUGAAUGGUGCUUCUACUCUAUUAGGAGGAUCAUUACUGUUGAGAAGAUCAAUCAGGUUAUCAAGGAGAUCCAUGUCCUGAGUCUCUAGGCCUAACCUAGAGGCCCGCUUUGUUUUUUGUAUACAAUGAAAUUUGUGAAGUGC